GCCGGAAGGGCAUAGGGCCUGGGAGCGAUGCCUGCCCCUUGAAGAGAGUUCCCCUCAUAAAAUAGAAUUAGCCAGAACUGAGUCACUGGGCCAGCCGUGAAGCAAAGGGAUUCUGAGAAGAUCUUUAUGUGUCAGUUCAACGGACAUUCAUCGACAAAGCCUUCCCCAACCCCGCAGACAAGCUGAGCCCCACCGGAGCGUAUGUAAUCUUAGAGCAUCAUGCACUUUUCCUCCAUGGUCCUUAACACAGCUGUUGUCUUGACUCUAUUCCUGUGAUGAUUAGAUUAAUGAUCGUCUACUCUGCAGACUGCAAGCUCCAUGGAACAGGCAAGCAGCACAUCUGUCUUCGCCCACGACUCCAUCCCCAGUGCCUACUGGAGUGGCUGGCAUAUGGAAGAUAGCAAGGAAACAGUGGCUGAGAGAUGAUUGAGGAGAGCCUGUAUCCCGAAGCAAGAGAGAGUCAAGAGGCAGGGUUUAACUCAAGAAUAGAGCAUCAGAGAGGGAGGGCUGGCAUUCUGAGUCUAGCUCCAUUUGCCACCGACAUUUUCCUUCUCCAUGAUCACUGUGUGCUCUGAUGUAAGAUGAGGAGACACAAAAACAAGAGCAAACAAUGUAACAAGCUAUUUCCUGUGCCUAUCCUUUCCCUGGACUCUGGAACACGCUAGGAGUUUGGCACCGGUGGCAUUGACAGCAGCCUAAGAAUGAGCCAUCCGUGCAACUCUGAUGCUUCCAACAGCAAAGGCACUGUCCGCUUCAGGUGUGGGCAGGUACAUCUUUACCAUAAACUUGGUGACGCGGUUGCUGGCCAAGGGGACAGGUUAUCUUAGUGGUUAAAAGCAGAGCUUUUUGCAUUUGGAUUUCAGCGUUGUCACUAACAAGGUGGAUGGCCUUGGGACAGUCCUCUGGAAGAAGCAGCAGUGUCUCAGAAGGCAGUGUCAAGUCCAGGAAGUUACCAGCUCUUCUGAGACUGCUAUGGACCCUGGUUUUCCCACUGCCUGGCCUUGGAAAAACUGGAAGAGACUUUUGCCUUCAUUGAUGUACCUCCACUACUCAAGGUAGUACUCCAGCACAUAGC
rnacentral:lncRNA from 1 species